AGCACACCCAGCUCAUUUCAGGCAGGGCUGGCAUGCUCAAGGAUUUCCGCGCAGAGCUCAUUUGUUAGCGUUGAGGUUGUCCGUGGAGCUGCAGCUUUAAUUUGCUCUAUGAUAAUGAGAGGUGCCUCUGGGUGGAUAAAUGUGGGCUCCAAGUGGGUGAUGCUGGGCGGUCUUCUGAACAAGAAGUUGGCUGGGGUGGGGGUGGGGGCUUACUUUUCAGCUCAGGUGAGGCAAGGAAGCCUCAGUCCUGAGAGCCUGGACCAGCUUUAGAAAACUGCCGCUGAGUGAGACCCGAUGGCCCCCUUCUUGCUCUGGCUCUCAGUUCAUGAAUGCAUAUGACUCCUAUCUCUGCUGGGCGCAUUCGCAGGUGACCCCGCACGCUGGGCCUCAGACUCUGGAGCUACGUGGGGUCUUGGCGUCGUGACCCAGCAUCAAGGACUCUCCUAGUUCUCUGUAAAAUGAUCUUGUCUGUGCGUGUGUUUCUCAAACCCCUUUCCCUUUAUCUUGUCAUUUUUAUUAGUAGUAUUUCUACUCUGGAAUCUGUAAUGAGCACAUUUCUAUUGCCAUAGAGAAAUUUGGCUAAUUUUUUUUUCUUCCUGAUUUCCUUAGAAAUCCUAAGUAAUGCACUGAAGAGAGGAGAGAUCAUUGCAAAGCAGGGAGGAGGUGGAGGUGGAGGAAGCGUCCCUGGGAUCGAGAGGAUGGGUCCUGGCAUUGACCGCCUCGGGGGUGCCGGCAUGGAGCGCAUGGGCGCGGGCCUGGGCCACGGCAUGGAUCGCGUGGGCUC
rnacentral:sRNA from 1 species